CCUACGGGCGGCAGCAGUGGGGGAUAUUGCACAAUGGGGGGAACCCUGAUGCAGCGACGCCGCGUGGGUGAAGAAGCGCCUCGGCCCGUAAAGCCCUGUCAGCAGGGAAGAAAAUGACGGUACCUGAAGAAGAAGCCACGGCUAACUAAGUGCCAGCAGCCGCGGUAAUACGUAGGGGGAAAGCGUUAUCCGGAUUUACUGGGUGUAAAGGGGGCGCAAACGGCGAUGCAAGCCAGGAGUGAAAGCCCGGGGCCCAACCCCGGGACUGCUCUUGGAACUGCGUGGCUAGAGUGCAGGAGGGGCAGGCGGAAUUCCUGGUGGAGCGGUGAAAUGCGUAGAUAUCAGGAGGAACACCGGUGGCGAAGGCGGCCUGCUGGACUGCAACUGACGUUGAGGCCCGAAAGCGUGGGGAGCAAACAGGAUUAGAUACCCGUGUAGUC
rnacentral:rRNA from 1 species